rnacentral:misc_RNA from 1 species
GUGAAUCAUCGAAUUUUUGAACGCAAAUUGCACUCUCUGGUAUUCCGGAGAGUAUGCCUGUUUGAGGGUCAGUAUAAAUAAAAAUCGGUGUGGUUGCUGCCUUUCUUGGUCACGUACCGGAUUUGAGUCGUCUUGCCUUCGGAUAAGUGGCCUAACAUUUUUCAUGAUUUUUUCGAAGGUAUUUAACUU